GAAUGACGUCAUAUACUAGCUUUAUAAACAAGUCGAAAGGAACUGUUAAUGAAAUAAUAAUUAGUUUAACACUUUGACUUUAUACUUAAUCUCACUCUCUACUAAGUUCCCGGAUGGAUUGCAUAAUUAUUUAUUCUUUUUACAAUUAUUAAUUAAAUUAUAAAUAUUAAUAAAAGUGAGAUAAAGGUGAUCAAUAGGUAAUGGUCUAGUUGGGAAGGUUUUUUCGUCGCUGGAGGAUAAAUUUAGUAAUUGACACAUGCUAAUGUAACGUAAUUCCCAUUGUCCAGACGUUGCCAUUAGUAUUCGUAGUAGUAUUGUUUAGUUAUUAGCAUAUUUACUAUUUAAUUUGUUUGAUGAAAAGCUCUGCCUCUGCUCAACGAUGGAAACUCCUUUCUUCCUCUAUUUUAUCCACUUGUAAAAGUAAAGGGACUCUAGUUUGCGAAUUCCCCAACUAUGAGUUGAUCCAUUUCGAUAAGUUGUACGACUUAUCUGAAGAGGAGAGUCCGACGGAAUUUGAAUGUGCCUCUUGGUAUAGAGUCCGCCUCAUUGAUUUUCCUCGCAUUUCCUUCAAAAUUCGUAUUUUGAACAAGAAGACCACUUUGAGGGACAUAACAGGAUUCAACAACACUGGGAAUGUUCGUUUAUGGCCUUCUGAAAUUAUUUUAACCCGUUAUCUUUUGGAAAACCCAUGGCUCUAUAGGAAAAAGUCUGUUCUUGAGUUAGGUGGAGGAAUGACAAGUCUUGCUGGGAUAUGUAUUGCUCAUAAUUAUGGCCAUGAUAAACCAAAGUCAGUUCAUUGCUCAGACGGCAAUGAAGAAAGUGUCAAAAAUAUUCAAAAAAUAAUUGAAAUCAAUAAUAUUAGUUAUAAUAAGUCAUCUCUGACACAACAGGUUGAACUCACUUCUGGGUGUUUGAGAUGGGACAUUGAAGAAAAAGGAGAGGGAGAUAAAUGUUACGACUUAAUUGUGUGCUCAGACUGCUUAUUUUUUAAGGCAGGCCGUAAAGAAUUAGCAGAAUUCAUCGUACACAAAUUGAACCCUGGAGGUGGUAGAGCCAUUAUUUUUGCUCCUCCAAGAAAUGAUACAUUAAAAGAAUUUGUCCAGUCUCUUCAAAUGUUUUCUUCCAUUAAGUCUGAGCUCAUUCAUAAUUACUCUGAGAAAGUUACUUCUGUUAAAGUGAAUCAUUUAGAACAAAACUCCCUCUACAACGAAGAUAUUCACUAUCCUCUACUGAUUACUUGCAUAAAAAAUUAAGUUUUACGCAAUCAAAACGUCAAGUAAAUUGGAAUUUCGCCAAUUUCGCAAAAAAAUUACCCAUUUACCCUUGCAAGAUCACAAAUUAAUAUUAUAAAGAUGUCUAAAGAUGCUGUUAUUGAUUUUAUUGCUGGAUCCCUCGGAGCCACUGCCUGUGUCUAUGUAGGACAACCCUUGGAUACUCUCAAAGUGAAGAUGCAAGCAUUUCCCAAUCUCUAUCCAAAUUUGAGAAUUUGUUUCAAGGAAACCUGGAAUAAAGAAGGAGUUGUUCGAGGGUAAGGUCAUUUGGAGUCAAAACAUACUUCUCCAUUAUUUAAAAAAAUACAAUUUAUUAUAAAAAAAUCGAAACGAGUUUUUUUUUUCUAUCUUUCUCUCUCUAAAUAGAUGUUUAGGUGAAAAUAUGACAGGAAAAUAUAAAGAUUAAAUGACUUCUAAA
rnacentral:misc_RNA from 1 species